rnacentral:rRNA from 1 species
GCUUACGGCCACACCGCCUGGUUCACACCCGAUCUCGGAAGCUAAGAUAGGUUGGGGCUGGUUAGUACUUGGAUGGGAGACCGCCUGGGAAUACCAGGUGCUGUAAGCU